rnacentral:rRNA from 1 species
CCUACGGGAGGCAGCAGUGGGGAAUAUUGCACAAUGGGGGAAACCCUGAUGCAGCGACGCCGCGUGAGUGAAGAAGUCUCUCGGUACGUAAAGCUCUAUCAGCAGGGAAGAAAAUGACGGUACCUGACUAAGAAGCCCCGGCUAACUACGUUCCAGCAGCCGCGGUAAUACGGAGGGGGCAAGCGUUAUCCGGAUUUACUGGGUGUAAUGGGAGCGUAGACGGCAGCACAAGUCUGGAGUGAAAUCCCGGGGCUUAACCCCGGAACUGCUUUGGAAACUGUGGGGCUGGAGUGCAGGAGGGGUAAGCGGAAUGCAUAGUGUAGCGGUGAAAUGCUGAGAUAUUGCGCAGAACCCCGAUUGCGAAGGCAGCAUACCGGCGGCGAUCUGACGCUGAGGCACGAAAGCGUGGGUAUCGAACAGGAUUAGAUACCCUAGUAGUC